CAAAUGAUGUAAACAGUAUGUUAUAUCUAGAUCUGAAAGUUAUUUAAGCGUUCAUGAGUUGAACUUUAUAUUCACUGUAAUUAAAUGUACAGACUGCUAUAAACGGAGGCAGUCACUGUUGUGCUUAACAUAUGUCUUUUGAGUGUUGUUGAAUUCUUAUAAUUUCUGACUGUGAUUGAAUGUAAAAAACAUUAUUGUUCUUAUCUAAUCUUUAAUGGUUUCAGGUUGUGUCUGAACAUCCCCUUUAUCAGAGUGUUCUGGUGCACUUGCUUUGCAUGCCGUGCUUUUCCUGUACCACUGUAGGUCUUUUUUUUUCUGUGAGACCCAGCUGAAGAUAUCAAGAGCUCAGAUGUUGGCCUACAGUUCAUUACACUGACUUCUUUGAUGUUCCCUGAAAGACUGACUACUACCAUUUCAUUAAGCUAAACCGAGAACCUGUGACAGUUUGUGGAGUUUGAAUUUAAAGUCACACAUGUCUAUCAAUAAAUUGAAUGUUUUGUCAUGAGCUGCUGUUUUCUAUUUGUCUUUCACAACAUCACUUUUACCUUUUCAAAGUCUUGCAGUUUGUGUUUACAUUGUGUUAGCAUAUUUUUUUAUUGGCUCAAUGUUUGUUAUACAAAGUAAAAAAAUUUUUUUGCUAUUAAACAUA